AACGAACGCACAUACGCAAACGGCGGCGGGGCCUUUUUUUGGCGCGUGCGCAGAGGGCGACUCAAGCACCACAAUCGCACACGUAGAUCUACGCGCAUACAACCCUCUCCUUUAGCCGCCUCUCGCGUCUCGCCACGGGGACCGCCUCCUCUCUCCUCUGUGUGCCUGUGUGUGGAGGGGGUGCACCUAUACAUGCAUGCAUCGAUCUGAGGUGCCUGCUGGAGGCAUACACGUACACGGAUACAUACGGAUCUGAGCCGAGGCAACAUGGAGACGCUUGGGCUUCCCCUCACCCCGGGCUCGACCACUGCCAUUCUGCACCCAUUCAAUGUUUUACGCGUAAGUUACGCUGUCUUGAGGCAUGCCCUUAGCGCCUUCAACCCUGACACUGCGGUGGUGCGCCGCACGCACCACCGCUCGCGCUCCCACGCAGGGGCUUCAGAAAGCCGGCUUGGCGCUGAAAGCGGUGACGGUGGAGGUGGCGACGUGGCCUCGGUGGCGUCCUCACGCCAGUCGCGAAGGUCUGCGCGCAGCGCUGCAGGUGAGCCGUCAAGCGAGCGCCCGCAUCGGCGUCACCGCUCCGAUAACGGCGACUCUACGGCGGCGCCAACAGGUCAGCGUCGCCACCGCCGCUCUUCCAUCGAGAGUGACAAGAGCAGCAGAGGUGCAGCUAAAGGGGUGCCAGCAGCGUCCUCAAACCGCCGCACGCGCAGCGCUGAAGAACCGCUCGUCGUGUCGAGACGUGCUUCCGCGGACGGUGGAGGCAGCAGUAUCACCAGCGCGCCCGGCUCGAGUGGCGGUCGGGUGCGCCGCAGUCAUAGCGAUGGAUCCCGCAGCCGCGCACCGGCCCUCCCUGGCGGCCAAGUUGGCCUCGGUAGUGGCAGCACUCGCAUGAGCUCUUCACUGGCAUCUUCGGCAUCUCACCCGCUUUCUCGGGUAGCAACCGCGGCAUUAGCAAGUGGUCUGACCCCUCCACUGGCCCCUCCGCCCCCUGUCACGGACAUCGGCAAGCCCCCGCUGAGUUCCCGUCGUCUCUCGAGCUCGCGCACCGCUGCUAGCACGCCCGAUGUGGCGACUCGCUCGCGGCAUCGUCAUCACCGUAGCAGCAGCGGUGGUGGGCUCAGCAGCAGCAGUCAGCGCUCCUCACGCUCGCGUCAAAGCGACAACGGCGACGACAAAGACGAAGCGGGGAGCAGCGUUAUCGUCGUUCGCGAUGGCGAAGCGGCUCGACUCGGCUCGAAAAUGUCAGCGUGGUCGCCGACGAGCUGGUGGCGACGCAUGCGGGCGAAAAACAUGACGCGGCCGGCGUACCUCAUCGACCACGUCAUUCAUGCUGUCCCAGUAGCCAUUGUGCACUACUGCUGUGAACUGAAGCGGCAGCUGGCGACUCUGCCGCUGCUGCGCUUCUCAGACCUACUACCGUCGCCUGGAACAGCGAAAACGCGGGGCGGCACUUGCAAAAGCCCCGCGGGUGCAGCCGCAGCGGCGUGGUUGCCCACCGAAGGAUGGUUUGAGAAGCUCCCUGCCCCGUACGUGGCCCACCUCCUCCUCAUGCGGUGGAUGCUGGCGGCGACCGAGGCGUACAUUGAGAAGCUCUUCUUCGACCAGAGCCUGGUGGUGCGGCAACUGCGCAGCAAGCGGAUUCGGCGGCGGUUGCUAGGCUGGGGAUUAAGACUUGUAUCUCACACUGUCUUUGAUCCUUUCCUGCUGAGUAUUGUGGUGCCGCUGCUGCUCUCCUGGGGUGCGACUCCCAACGCUGGCGACGCGUCAUCGCCGCUGCCGUCACCGCCGCCUCGAGUUCUCUUCACGGUAGCCGGUGCCGUGCGGGGCCUGGUGAUUAGCGCAGCGGGUGUAACGAUUCAGCAGCUCUUGAUGCCCCUGGCGAGCCAGCUAGUGGACCGGGCGGUGCUGACUGUCUUCGAGUCAGUCGAGUACCUCAUCAUGCGCCGCUACGCCCAGUGGUCGGACGAAGAUGAGGACAAUGACUACAACGAGGAUGGCGAGGACGAUGACGAUCGUGCGUCGCUCGCCUCGGGUGCUAGCGAGGGAGCGCGCUCUCAACAGAGUGUGAACAUGUCGAUUGCCACCACCGCUCCCAGUGGUGGCGGGGCGGGCGGAACGGCUACACUCUCGGCAGAGAAGCGCGUAGAGCAUGUGCAGCGUCGAUUGCGGCGAGAGCGCCGCGAGCGCCGUAAGCGACGUGAGCGGCGGCAAUCCGAGCGGGAGCAUGCCAUGCGGCUGGCCAUUCUUCGCGCCAUUGUGUACCGCGUCGUGGCCUCUCUUGUGGCCCAGUCGCUCAUUGAUCAUCCGCUUAGCGUGUUGGUGGAACUGCUGCGCGGUCGCGCGACACUGCACCUCACGGGACUCCUUCGACCGUACGCGGUCAUGACGGAUGCGAGUGAUGGACUUUCAUGGGCGAAUCUGUGGCGGUACGCCUUGCAGUUGGCGGACCCGACCGUAACGGUCAGCGACGCGACAAAUGGAGGAGAUGCCGACGAAGAAGGCGUGCCGCCGAUGGUAACGGUGCUGCGUCGAGCCGGUCGCAUGAUUACGCAGGAGGUGGUUGUGCUGUCUUCUAGUGUUUUGACGGCAUCUGGGCAGACGGCGGCCAUUGCGGCGGUGCAGCAGCGCGCUGCACAAACGGUCGCGCAGGGCGGCAUUCCAUCAGCGGCCGACAGCGCACAUUUCAUGGCACGCACUCUUUCGUCCCUCUCACCCUUCUAUUACGGCAUUCAGUUCACUGUGAUUGACAAAGUGCUGAGCUUCUACAUGGCCGUGUGGACGCGGUUGACGAAGCAGUAGAGCGUUUCAACGAAAAGGCAAAGAAGACGAAGUCAACGCGUGCGUUUCUUUUCGUUUUUUUUUUGUUUCGUGUGUUGUGCUUUUCUUUCGGUGGACGUCUGUCUAGAGAUGCACCUGUUCUGAGUGUGCGUGCAUGAGAGGGUGCGCGCAUGCACCGCUGCUUUAGCGUCCAAUCACGGUGCUCGGUUUACCCUUUCCUCUGAUUCUUUCGCGCUCUUCAUAGAUAUGUGCAUGAUGAUGAUGCGGUCGUGGUCAUGUGGCCGCUUUUUCUCGGUCUGCGUGUGUACGUAUAAUCAUACACACACACACAGACACGCACCAACCCCCCACUCUCUCUUCAUGGUGUUGCGCGUCUCCUUCCGUAAACUGUCGUUCUCUCCCUGUUGUUGUAUUCUUGUUCUACCGGUGUGUCCUCUUAUCCGCGUGAUACGGCGCCCAGGGAAGACGGAGGGAGGCGGCGGAGUCAUUUUGCGGGUGCGUUUGGCGGGGCGCACCACCGUGCAGACCCUCAUGAAGUCAAAAAAGAGUGCAUCUGUUCAGGUGUCUGUGACGGAGGGAGGGCGUGUUUCUCGAUCGCUGCCGCGUGUUACUCUGGAUGCUGCGUUGCACUGCAAUCGUCAGCAGCAGCAAAGUGCGCACGAGUGUGUCUGGCUGAGCAGACCUCCCUCGCCAAUGAUGACGGCGCUGAUCGCCCUCCUUCUCCUCUUUUCUUUUUCAAAGCAGCAAAGCGUUUACCAGGCCGG
rnacentral:misc_RNA from 1 species